UUACUUACCUGGCAGGGGAGAUACCGUGAUCAAGAAGGUGGUUCACCCAGGGCGAGGUUCAGCCAUUACAUUUCUGUUGUGCUGACCCCUGUGAAUUCCCCAAAUGUGUGAUUUUUUUUGGGCAGUGGUGGCCUAGC
ensembl:snRNA U1 U1 spliceosomal RNA